AAUUAGAAAAAUGGUGGUGAACUAUCACCGUAGCACUUUCUUCUCUCCCCUUUUUUGGUAAAGGUCUUCUGCUGGUACGGCGCGAUGGCUGGUACGCAGGCGCCAGAAAUUGCCCCGAAUUUACUACACCCUCUCUUCUUCUUCUUCUCGCUCCGAUACCACCGCGAAAUCGCCGCAUCCGCAUAUACACCCAAACAAAAGCAAUAUGGCAGUCUCUGAGCUCUUUCUCCUCUUGCUUUCUAGGGUUUUAUAACUCUCUCUCUCUCUCUCUCUCUCUCUCUCUCUUCUCCCGAUGGAAAUGCCUGGCCGUCGAUCUAACUAUUCUCUCCUCUCCCAAUUCCCCGACGAUCUUCAGCAACAGCAAUCCAAAUUCCCCGCACCACCAGCAGCAGCUGCUGCGCCCUUCUACGAAUCUCUGUCUGGAGAAAAGAAUAAGCAGAAGCCCGACAGGCCAUUCGAUUGGCCCCCAAUCGAUGGCGGGGACCACCGCCGGGUCGGAUCGUUCUUCCCACCGUCGAUCGGCCUGCAGCGCCAGUCCAGCGGCAGCAGCUUUGGGGAGAGCUCACUCUCCGGGGAAUACUAUGUCUCAACUCUGUCCACCGCCAACGAUCCCGACCUCUUCCCGCAGCUGCUGCCUCCUGAGGAUGGGUUCAAGACGGGUGCGGAUGCACGGCUGAAGGCUGUCGACGCUGCGGCAGCAGCGGGGUCAUCAUCGUCCAAGAGCCGGGCACAGCAGACCGAGGAAAGCUACCAGCUGCAGCUUGCUCUUGCACUCCGCCUCUCAUCAGAGGCGACCUGUGCUGACGACCCGAAUUUCCUUUGCCCAGGCUCAGAGGACUCAUCGAUUGGAUCUCCAAUCGCCUCCUCAGAGUCUGUUUCUCAUCGUUUUUGGGUAAAUGGCUGCCUAUCUUACUAUGAUAAGGUACCAGAUGGGUUUUACCUGAUUCAGGGAAUGGAUCCAUAUGUAUGGACUGUGUGCACUGAUCUGCAAGAAAACGGCCGGAUCCCAUCAAUCGAAUCACUGAAGGCUAUGAGUCCUAGUGAUUCGUCAGUUGAAGUGGUUUUGAUCGAUAAACGGGGCGAUCCUGGUUUGAAGGAACUUGAAAAUAAGGUAGUCAGCCUUUCAUGUGGUUGUUUUACCACAAAGGAGGUGGUUGACGAGCUUGCGAAGCUCAUCUGCAGACGGAUGGGGGGUGCAGCUUCUGCUGGAGAAGGUUCUUUAGUUCCUCGCUGGCAGCACUGCAGCGAUACUCUCAAGGAUUGUUUAGGGUCUAUUGUGUUUCCAGUGGGUAGCCUAUCUGUUGGUCUCUGCCGGCAUCGUGCUCUGCUGUUCAAAGUGUUAGCAGAUGCAAUUGAUUUACCUUGCCGAAUUGCAAAAGGUUGCAAAUAUUGUAGAAGAGAUGAUGCUACAUCCUGUCUAGUGCGGUUUGGCUUUGAGAGAGAAUAUUUAGUUGAUUUGAUCGGGAACCCAGGAUCCUUAUGUGAGCCUGAUUCCUUACUCAAUGGCCCAUCUUCCAUCUUAAUUUCUUCUCCUUUGCGUCUUCCGAGAUUCAAAACCGUUGGAAUUGCUCAGAACUUCAGAUCUUUAGCCAAGCAAUAUUUCUCAGACUGUCAAUCACUAAAUCUCAUAUUUGAUGAUGCUUCUGCAGGUAGUGCUUCUGGUCAGGGAGAUGCUACAGACCCAUCAUUUCCCGGGCCUUUGGACAGGAAGCAUGAAGAUAUGAACUACUCACUGCCUGUAUCAAUCAACAAUGACGAAAAUUCUCUUCUGCCAAAGCCCAAUCAAGGAGUUGCUCGACCAGAUAGCCGUGAUGACGAAACUCAGUUUCAAAAAUGGCAAAAUUCACAGAAUGGUAUGGUUCCACAACGUUUUGUUGAAGACCAUUCACCAAAAAAUGUGCAGCGACAAAGAGAGAUUCCACCAAUGAUAGCCAUUUCUAAUCCAAGGACAGAUAAGAAUAAAGAGCUAAGGCUCAUCGGGAGUUCUCAAGUGGUACCAAAAAGAUCAGAUAGCGAAUUGUCUCUUGAAGUAGAUGACUUGGACAUACCAUGGAGCGAUCUUGUCCUAAAGGAGCGAAUAGGAGCAGGUUCAUUUGGAACUGUUCAUCGUGCUGAUUGGCAUGGAUCGGAAGUUGCUGUGAAGAUUCUCAUGGAGCAAGACUUUCACGCAGAGAAAUUUAAGGAAUUUCUGAGAGAGGUUGCAAUAAUGAAACGUCUUCGGCAUCCAAACAUUGUUCUUUUCAUGGGUGCAGUUACUCGGCCCCCAAACCUGUCCAUUGUUACAGAGUAUUUAUCAAGAGGCAGCUUAUAUAGGCUUUUACAUAGACCUGGUGCAAGAGAAAUGUUGGAUGAGAGGCGUCGGUUAAAUAUGGCUUAUGACGUGGCGAAGGGAAUGAAUUAUCUUCAUAAGCGCAAUCCUCCCAUUGUUCAUCGAGAUUUGAAGUCCCCAAAUCUUUUGGUGGAUAGAAAGUAUACAGUAAAGGUUUGCGAUUUUGGUCUGUCCCGUUUAAAAGAGAACACUUUUCUUUCUUCUAAGUCAUUGGCUGGGACUCCCGAGUGGAUGGCACCAGAAGUUCUUCGUGAUGAGCCAUCAAAUGAGAAGUCUGAUGUGUACAGCUUUGGAGUGAUCCUAUGGGAGCUUUUGACGUUGCAACAACCUUGGACUAAUUUAAAUCCAGCACAAGUGGUGGCUGCUGUAGGCUUUAAGUGUAGAAGGCUCGAAAUUCCAAGCGAUGUGAAUCCACAAGUCGCUGCUUUAAUUGAGUCUUGCUGGAUUAAUGAGCCCUGGAAACGACCAUCUUUUGCCACUAUUAUGGAGUCCUUGAAGCCACUGGUCAAACCCCCAACACCUCAACCAGGUCGUGCGGAAAUUUCACGGCUUACCUGAUUGGUGGAACACCUGCAAGAGCAUUUGUUCACAUCUGGCAUUCUUUUGUUAAUCUGACGGCUAAGAUGGGCCUGCAUCGCUCGCAUCAGCUGAGGUUAACUGUAGGUGCAAACCAUUAUGACUGGCGUUUUCUGCUUGAAAAACCAAUAUUUUACCAGCAAAUGUGGAAGAAAAUCAGAAGAUAAAAGAGCGGAUCAUACUAUGCUACCAGUUGUAGGUGACCAGUUCUCAGCUAUUUUUUUCCAUUGCCUGUUUAGCAUCCUGUGAAUUGCACCAUGAUUUGAUUUGCACCCAUUAGGUAAUGGAUGUGAUAAAUGGGUCAUGAUAGAAUGAGAAAUGCAAUGGCUACUCCCAAAGUAGGCUACCUACUCAAGACUCGAGUCAUAACCCUCAACUGACCUUUGUGCCAAUGUAGCUUGGGUGUGAGUUUAUGAUCUGUUCAUCAGAUGGCCUAGUGUAUCUGCUGUGGCUCCAAAUCAAGCAGACUGCUCUGCCGCAUUGCCUGGAAGAAUAGGCAGUUGAUCGACAGUCUGUUUGAAGUACAUGUGCUGUCCACCUGAUGAUCAAACCAUCUUGGAUUUUGGCAGAUGAUGUAUACAAAAUGGGCCUCGCAUGAUGAAUGCCUGGAUCUCGCACACAUGACUAGUGUUAGCAUGAUUUGAGAUAUCAAUUUCACAAGUAGCUCCACUGGGGCUCCAAAACAUGGAGCUGCAAUUUUCACUGUGGUCUGUUCUCUCUUCAGUAGAAUG